GAUGAACGCUGGCGGCGUGGAUAAGGCAUGCAAGUAGAACGAUCCAUGUUUACUUCGGUGAAUAUGGGGAGUUGCAGACGAGGUAGUAACACGUAGGAACGUCCCCCAAAGUCAGGAAUAACGCAUCGAAAGGUGUGCUAAUACUUGAUGGUCCCGCAAGGGUAAAGAUUUAUCGCUUUGGGAACGGCCUGCGCAGUAUCAGCUAGUUGGUGAGGUAAAAGCUCACCAAGGCUAUGACGCUUAGGGGAGG
rnacentral:rRNA from 1 species